GACGAACGCUGGCGGCGUGCUUAACACAUGCAAGUCGAACGGAAAGGCCCUGCUUUUGUGGGGUGCUCGAGUGGCGAACGGGUGAGUAACACGUGAGUAACCUGCCCUUGACUUUGGGAUAACUUCAGGAAACUGGGGCUAAUACCGGAUAGGAGCUCCUGCUGCAUGGUGGGGGUUGGAAAGUUUCGGCGGUUGGGGAUGGACUCGCGGCUUAUCAGCUUGUUGGUGGGGUGGUGGCUUACAAAGGCUUUGACGGGUAGCCGGCCUGAGAGGGUGACCGGCCACAUUGGGACGGAGAUACGGCCAGGACUCCUACGGGGGGCAGAAGGGGGGAAUAUUGCACAAUGGGCGGAAGCCUGAGGCAGCAACGCCGCGGGCGGGAUGACGGCCUUCGGGUUGUAAACCGCUUUCGCCUGUGACGAAGCGUGAGUGACGGUAAUGGGUAAAGAAGCACCGGCUAACUACGUG
rnacentral:rRNA from 1 species